rnacentral:rRNA from 1 species
UACGUAGGGGGCAAGCGUUGUCCGGAAUCAUUGGGCGUAAAGCGCGUGUAGGCGGCUCGAUAAGUCUGCUGUGAAAGUCCAGGGCUCAACCCUGGGAUGCCGGUGGAUACUGUCGAGCUCGAGUCCGGAAGAGGCGAGUGGAAUUCCUGGUGUAGCGGUGAAAUGCGCAGAUAUCAGGAGGAACACCGAUGGCGAAGGCAGGUCUCUGGGCCGAUACUGACGCUGAGACGCGAAAGCGUGGGGAGCAAACAGG